rnacentral:rRNA from 1 species
CACAAGCGGUGGAUGAUGUGAUUAAUUCGAUGCAACGCGAAAACCUUACCUACCCUUGACAUGUCCGGAAUCCCGAAGAGAUUUGGGAGUGCUCGCAAGAGAGCCGGAACACAGGUGCUGCAUGGCUGUCGUCAGCUCGUGUCGUGAGAUGUUGGGUUAAGUCCCGCAACGAGCGCAACCCUUGUCAUUAGUUGCCAUCAUUUGGUUGGGCACUCUAAUGAGACUGCCGGUGACAAACCGGAGGAAGGUGGGGAUGACGUCAAGUCCUCAUGGCCCUUAUAGGUGGGGCUACACACGUCAUACAAUGGCUGGUACAAAGGGUUGCCAACCCGCGAGGGGGAGCCAAUCCCAUAAAGCCAGUCGUAGUCCGGAUCGCAGUCUGCAACUCGACUGCGUGAAGUCGGAAUCGCUAGUAAUCGUGGAUCAGCAUGUCACGGUGAAUACGUUCCCGGGUCUU